AAUACGUAGGGUGCGAGCGUUGUCCGGAAUUAUUGGGCGUAAAGGGCUCGUAGGCGGUUUGUCGCGUCGGGAGUGAAAACACACAGCUUAACCGUGAGCUUGCUUCCGAUACGGGCAGACUAGAGGUAUGCAGGGGAGAGCGGAAUUCCUGGUGUAGCGGUGAAAUGCGCAGAUAUCAGGAGGAACACCGGUGGCGAAGGCGGUUCUCUAGGCAUUACCUGACGCUGAGGAGCGAAAGUGUGGGGAGCGAACAGGA
rnacentral:rRNA from 1 species